GACGAACGCUGGCGGCGUGCCUAACACAUGCAAGUCGAGCGGAGAUUUCUUUGGCACUGAGUACUCUAGUAGUGACGCAAAGGAAGCGUCAUGAAGAAACAACAUAGAUGUUAAAAACACUGAUAAAAGUUUCUUCAUCACGCGUUUAUAAAGUGCCAACACAUAACAACAAGAAGAAUUAGAGUAUUGAGUGCCAAAGAAAUCUUAGCGGCGGACGGGUGAGUAACACGUGGGCAACCUGCCUUGGAGUGGGGGAUAACACCGGGAAAUCGGUGCUAAUACCGCAUAACAUACACAAGCUGCAUGGUAUGUGUAUCAAAGGAGUAAUCCGCUUUAAGAUGGGCCCGCGGCUGAUUAGCUAGUUGGUAAGGUAACGGCUUACCAAGGCGACGAUCAGUAGCCGACCUGAGAGGGUGACCGGCCACACUGGAACUGAGACACGGUCCAGACUCCUACGGGAGGCAGCAGUGGGGAAUAUUGCGCAAUGGGGGAA
rnacentral:rRNA from 1 species